rnacentral:rRNA from 1 species
GUGAACCUGCGGAAGGAUCAUUACAAGUGAGGCUACCGAACGUUGGAAACAGCGGUUAGGAGCUUACACCCACCCGUGUUUACAUACUAUUGUUGCUUUGGCGGGCCGUGGCCUCCACUGCGGGCUCUGCUCGUGUGUGCCCGCCAGAGGACCAAACUCUGAAUGUUAGUGAUGUCUGAGUACUAUCUAAUAGUUAAAACUUUCAACAACGGAUCUCUUGGUUCUGGCAUCGAUGAAGAACGCAGCGAAAUGCGAUAAGUAAUGUGAAUUGCAGAAUUCAGUGAAUCAUCGAAUCUUUGAACGCACAUUGCGCCCUGUGGUAUUCCGCAGGGCAUGCCUGUUCGAGCGUCAUUUAACCACUCACGCCUAGCGUGGUAUUGGGGCACGCGGUCUCGCGGCCCUCAAAACUAGUGGCGGCGCCGGUGGGCUCUAAGCGUAGUACAUACUCCCGCUAUAGAGAUCCCCCGGUGGCUCGCCAGAACCCCCAAUUUUUUACAGGUUGACCUCGGAUCAGGUAGGGAUACCCGCUGAACUUAAGCAUAUCAAAAGGCCGGAGGAA